CAUCUGCAGCCUGGGUCACUGGUAACCUGUCAUAGUGACUGAGCUGACACCAAGCCUUGCUCUGAAGCAGGUAUUUUUAUGCAGUUAACCUUCUCUGGGCUGGUGAUUAUGCAACAUGUUUGUUCCCUGAGCACACAUUGUUCUCAGGCGGCCGGCACGGUCACUAAAAAUCCUACCUGUUUUAGAAUCUUCCUAUUAGUAAAUACCAGGCAAUGUCACUAAAAAGGCUUACAGGCUGAGAAGAGGAACUGAACAAAUCUUGGAGCCAAGAUGCAUCUCCUUUUUAGGUGGUACUUCUCCAGGGAACGAUGUCCUUAUCUGUGAGACCUUCAACUGAAUGGAACAGGAAGCCUGACGUCAAAAGCUCCCCCUCGUGACCAAAUCGACUGGGACUUGUUGGAUCCAAGAUGGCAGCUCACUUGACUUCUGAAGAACCUGGAACUUCAUUAUAAUCAAAUUUCCGUGCUAAAUGACAUUCCCGCGAGCACCAUGACAGUUGACAAUCACCAUGACAGUGACAGAAGAAACCAUAAAAUGACAAAAAGGAAGGCGGCAACUCUGGUUCUGAGUUUUCUGCCCAUUUCCAGAAAAGAUGUGAAUAUUCUUCUCUUUGCUUUUAAUGCCUGACCCUGUCAUUAGAGAUAUUCUGUAUCUGUGACUUCCUGGUUUUCACAAGCUGAGAAGGUGAUUUGUGAGCCAAUCUCCUGGUUCUCAAUUUCAUGGCCAUUGAAUGAAGCUGGUACUGCUUGAUGCUCA